rnacentral:rRNA from 1 species
ACAGAAAGCAGCUUGCUGCUUUGCUGACGAGUGGCGGACGGGUGAGUAAUGUCUGGGAAACUGCCUGAUGGAGGGGGAUAACUACUGGAAACGGUAGCUAAUACCGCAUAACGUCGCAAGACCAAAGAGGGGGACCUUCGGGCCUCUUGCCAUCGGAUGUGCCCAGAUGGGAUUAGCUAGUAGGUGGGGUAACGGCUCACCUAGGCGACGAUCCCUAGCUGGUCUGAGAGGAUGACCAGCCACACUGGAACUGAGACACGGUCCAGACUCCUACGGGAGGCAGCAGUGGGGAAUAUUGCACAAUGGGCGCAAGCCUGAUGCAGCCAUGCCGCGUGUAUGAAGAAGGCCUUCGGGUUGUAAAGUACUUUCAGCGGGGAGGAAGGGAGUAAAGUUAAUACCUUUGCUCAUUGACGUUACCCGCAGAAGAAGCACCGGCUAACUCCGUGCCAGCAGCCGCGGUAAUACGGAGGGUGCAAGCGUUAAUCGGAAUUACUGGGCGUAAAGCGCACGCAGGCGGUUUGUUAAGUCAGAUGUGAAAUCCCCGGGCUCAACCUGGGAACUGCAUCUGAUACUGGCAAGCUUGAGUCUCGUAGAGGGGGGUAGAAUUCCAGGUGUAGCGGUGAAAUGCGUAGAGAUCUGGAGGAAUACCGGUGGCGAAGGCGGCCCCCUGGACGAAGACUGACGCUCAGGUGCGAAAGCGUGNGGAGCAAACAGGAUUAGAUACC